AUUGAACGCUGGCGGCAGGCUUAACACAUGCAAGUCGAGCGGGGGGAGGUAGCUUGCUACCGGACCUAGCGGCGGACGGGUGAGUAAUGCUUAGGAAUCUGCCUAUUAGUGGGGGACAACAUCUCGAAAGGGAUGCUAAUACCGCAUACGUCCUACGGGAGAAAGCAGGGGAUCUUCGGACAUUGCGCUAAUAGAUGAGCCUAAGUCGGAUUAGCUAGUUGGUGGGGUAAAGGCCUACCAAGGCGACGAUCUGUAGCGGGUCUGAGAGGAUGAUCCGCCACACUGGGACUGAGACACGGCCCAGACUCCUACGGGAGGCAGCAGUGGGGAAUAUUGGACAAUGGGGGGAACCCUGAUCCAGCCAUGCCGCGUGUGUGAAGAAGGCCUUAUGGUUGUAAAGCACUUUAAGCGAGGAGGAGGCUACUUUAGUUAAUACCUAGAGAUAGUGGACGUUACUCGCAGAAUAAGCACCGGCUAACUCUGUGCCAGCAGCCGCAGUAA
rnacentral:rRNA from 1 species